GAUGAACGCUAGCGGCAGGCCUAACACAUGCAAGUCGAGGGGCAGCACAGAAACAGCAAUGUUUUGGUGGCGACCGGCGGACGGGUGCGUAACGCGUGUGCAACCUACCUUUAACAGGGGGAUAACGGAGAGAAAUUUUCACUAAUACCCCAUAACAUCGAUCAAGGCAUCUUGAUUGGUUGAAAACUCCGGUGGUUAAAGAUGGGCAUGCGUUGUAUUAGGUAGUUGGUGAGGUAAGGGCUCACCAAGCCUACGAUACAUAGGGGGACUGAGAGGUUAGCCCCCCACACUGGUACUGAGACACGGACCAGACUCCUACGGGAGGCAGCAGUGAGGAAUAUUGGUCAAUGGGGGCAACCCUGAACCAGCCAUGCCGCGUGCAGGAAGACGGCUCUAUGAGUUGUAAACUGCUUUUAAACAGGGAUAAAGCACAGUAUGUAUACUGUGUUGAAGGUACUGUAAGAAUAAGGAUCGGCUAACUCCGUGCCAGCCGCCGCCGUAA
rnacentral:rRNA from 1 species